ACCUGCAUCCCAAACUGCUGGGCUUGAGUAUGGGAGAGGAUGAGGGAAUUCCUGGUGUAGCGGUGAAAUGCGUAGAUAUCAGGAGGAACACCGGUGGCGAAAGCGCUCAUCUGGCCCAAUACUGACGCUGAGGCGCGAAAGCUAGGGGAGCAAACGGGAUUAGAUACCCCGGUAGUCCUAGCCGUAAACGGUGAGCACUAGGUGUUGGAGGCAUCGACCCCUCCAGUGCCGCAGCUAACGCAUUAAGUGCUCCGCCUGGGGAGUACGGCCGCAAGGUUGAAACUCAAAGGAAUUGACGGGGGCCCGCACAAGCGGUGGAGCAUGUGGUUUAAUUCGACGCAACGCGAAGAACCUUACCCAGACUUGACAUGCAUUGGACGGGUGUGGAAACACACCUUCCCUUCGGGGCCGAUGCACAGGUGCUGCAUGGCUGUCGUCGGCUCGUGUCGUGAGAUGUUGGGUUAAGUCCCGCAACGAGCGCAACCCUUGUCCUUAGUUGCUAACGGGUAAUGCUGAGCACUCUAAGGAGACUGCCGGUGGUAAACCGGAGGAAGGUGGGGAUGACGUCAAGUCCUCAUGGCCCUUACGUCUGGGGCUACACACGUGCUACAAUGGCCGGUACAAAGGGUUCCGAUACCGCGAGGUGGAGGCAAUCCCAAAAAACCGGUCUCAGUUCGGAUUGCAGUCUGCAACUCGACUGCAUGAAGUUGGAAUCGCUAGUAAUCGCUGAUCAGCAGGCAGCGGUGAAUACGUUCCCGGGCCUUGUACACACCGCCCGUCAAGCCACGAAAGUCGGCAGCACCCGAAGUCGCUACGCCAACCGUAAGGG
rnacentral:rRNA from 1 species